rnacentral:lncRNA from 1 species
GCAAAGAGUGUUGGUGAAUAGGAGCGGCCGUCCUUCGGUACCGUGGCACAGAAGUUUUCUUCAUCUCCAAGGUUCAGGUAGAUCGUACAGAUGUCAGAAACUAGCUGCUGUGGUUUGAAGUCAAACUCGCUGAAAUCCUUGACUUUCAAAGCUCCCAUUUUAGGGCCAACCAGGUGUUGCAGAAAAUAGUUUAGCAUGGAGAUGAUGCGUUCAGCAAGAAAAGGAUGCACAAACAGGGACUUGAUUUCUGAUGUCAGGAAGGCCAGAGUACCGAUGGUUUCAUUGGACAUGAUGUUGUGGAAUCGAGCCAGCUGACCAAACAUCUGCAGGCUGGAC